CCUACGGGAGGCAGCAGUAGGGAAUAUUGGUCAAUGGACGAGAGUCUGAACCAGCCAAGUAGCGUGAAGGAUGACUGCCCUAUGGGUUGUAAACUUCUUUUAUAUGGGAAUAAAACGUUCCACGUGUGGGAUUUUGUAUGUACCAUAUGAAUAAGGAUCGGCUAACUCCGUGCCAGCAGCCGCGGUAAUACGGAGGAUCCGAGCGUUAUCCGGAUUUAUUGGGUUUAAAGGGAGCGUAGGUGGAUUGUUAAGUCAGUUGUGAAAGUUUGCGGCUCAACCGUAAAAUUGCAGUUGAAACUGGCAGUCUUGAGUACAGUAGAGGUGGGCGGAAUUCGUGGUGUAGCGGUGAAAUGCUUAGAUAUCACGAAGAACUCCGAUUGCGAAGGCAGUUCACUGGACUGCAACUGACACUGAGGCUCGAAAGUGUGGGUAUCAAACAGGAUUAGAUACCCCUGUAGUC
rnacentral:rRNA from 1 species